CUGCUAAUAGAUUUUAAAGGGUAUAUGAUUAUUUCUGAUUUUUUUUAAGGAACAACAGACAAGCUGAAAGAGAGUUACUUGAGCUCUGGCUGAUUGCCCUUUCAACUGGAUCAAUCACUCGGAUGUUUCAGGCUUUUAAAGUACUGUGUUAUCGUCAACGAGGUGACAUUUAUACCUGUUCGAUUAACCCACGCCAAUGAAGGAAAACUAAAUCCUGGCAUUGACGUUAACUCCCGACAGACUCCCUCCCACAUUCUUUAGGAAGUUCCUGAACUACGUCGUCAGCUCAGCGUGGCUUGUCCUUGUUUUCCUGAAGAUCAAUCGAUGUGAGGAUAAGACUGCGCCUAACGAGAUUUGUUGUUCUUCUAGCCGUAAAGAGGCCAGACAAAUUUGAAAGGUUUCUAAUGUGCGUGAAAAACUGGGGAUAUAGCCAGGUAAGGUAUCUGACCAGUAUAACAAUUUGGGUUGGUUUUAACACAGAGUUGAACUUGAAAGCCCACGAAAGCUCGCAUGAUUCUUGAUCCUAGCCGACCCGAAUAAAAAUAAGGAAACCCGAGAAACCAUUUUAGUUUUGGCCUACCAGUUAAGCCCUGUAUUGGGAUUAUAAUUGAAGGUGUACCUUGUUUCUAAUUGAGCUUCACGUCCCACUAGCACCAUCGGAUAUGUAUCUGCUUGGUUGGCUCAUCCUGGUCUAUUUUAGUAUCACCUGCCAACGCGUCAGGAAAUAGAGCUCCCAACAUGUUUUCUAAAGCAUGAAGAUGUGGAGCACGUUUACAUCUUCGACGGGAAAACUCGACUUUUGUCGCGUGGUGAACAUCUAUUGCACCAUGCAUAUACGUCUACCAUGAAGCAUCAAAGGAUUGAUAAAGAAGAUUUUCUUCGACAUCGAUGAAACAGUCCAUCAGCGGCGUCCUUUUUGCUGUGGAAUUUCACACCAUGUUGCACCGAAGUAUUCCGUUCAAUUUGGGAAGAUUUGACAGCCCUUUGACUUCAACAUUUCACAGCAGAUGAUAAAAUAACGUGCGUUCGGCUUACCGUACGUCAUACGCGUUCCAUUCAUCCCAUUGACGAUUACGUUGUAGCGAUCGUAGCUGAUGGCAGCCAUUGUACAGAUGCUGCAUAAUCCGAAAACAGAACCGGUGCAGGCGUAUAAUUCACACAUGAAAGGCCCAAAAAGCCAAACUCCUCCGUUGAAGCAGUUGAGGACAAACAUUGGAAACUGAGUAAUCAUCAUGCACAGAUGAAGAACCAAGGAAUUGCCUGAAAUAAUAGGUCAACAAAAACAAUGCCGGAAAUUUUUUUAAGCAAGACGACAAAACUUCAAAUUUAGGAUUAUCCACAUACCCGUGAUGGAGGCCAUACCCAAUACGAUGUAGAGAAGUCCCUAAAAGAGUAAAUGAUUAGAACAGUUACUGCAAGGUGAGUCCUAUGAUGAUAGUAACAACUUACAAGUAG